GCCGGAAACGUUUUCUGGGGAGAGCAGCGCGCAUCCCCGGAAUGAGGGGGGUUGGGAGGGAUGCGAUGUGCAAGCCCCGAGGGCGGCCCGGGGGUGCUCUACCGCACGCCCGGGGCCAGGGCGCUUUACCUUAUCGCUGUAAUCCCUCAGGACCCGCUCGAUAGCCCCCGCCUCGCCGGCCCGGACGAUGUAGAGGGCGCGCUCCUCAUCCAUGGCCGCAGGUGCGGGGGAGCUGCGGCCGCUCUGCGCGCCCAAGCCGCUGCCUCCAGCCGGGCGUAGGGACAAACAGAACAAGAGGCAUCAGUGCAAGAACUUGAAAAGGCCCUGCAGCCUCUGGAACUUGCCCACAUCUCAUCAGUUUUGUCAUCUCUGCUCCUCCCAGUGAGCAGCACCAGUACGUGGUGGUAAAGCACAGGUCCUCCAUGACCAAGAACAACCAACCGGACUUCAUCCAGAGAACGCGAGCAGCAGUAUUCCUGCAGUCUUUGUCCAUGGGAUAUGAGCGUGUACGCGGAGAAGUAAUCCACCAUCCACCCCUUCAACAUUUACUGGGAUUGAAAGGUUCACCUGCCUAUAGAAAGGACACAGUCCUCGGUGGAACAUCUUACACUGGAUGAUGAGUUUCCGGUGCUCGUCCCGGGAGUCUUCCAUGGUGUAGAGGGUUUGCUUGGUGAUGCUGUUGAGGUCCACGUUCCUCCAGUCUUCCAGCAUUUGGAAUGUGAUGUCUGCACUGUGGAUCACCGUGCGAGAUGCCUGCAAUGCAAUCCCAUCACCCCAUUAGCUCAUGGGUUGUUAGGUUAGAACCCCUGCAUGUUGUUUUCCUUUUAAUGAACCUGCUUAUGGUAUUUUGUAAACGACUUUGAAAUUAAUUAAGGAAGACUCAAUUUGAGGGAAUCAGCAGAUGAGCCCAUAACUCAGAAGACCCAUACACUCUUUUCUCUUGUGGCUGUCUUUGUCUUUAUAAAAAAUUACUCCAGGGUGGCCUAGGCUAGACCUAACCCUGCUGUUCCCAGUCCCUUUGGUCUUGACCCCUGGGGGAACAAUGGGAUGAAGCCCAGAGAUCUGUCACCUUCUGAGGUAAGCUGGUGGGAUGGGAGCUGUGUGAUUAAUAAUGUGUCUCUAGUGCCUGAGAAGCAGCAGGCUCAGACCUGGGAAUGGACUUGGCUACCCGCCGGCCCGUGAUAGCUUUAAUCCCAGAAAUCUCACAAUGUCUUAUUUU